rnacentral:rRNA from 1 species
UACGGAGGAUCCAAGCGUUAUCCGGAUUCAUUGGGUUUAAAGGGUGCGUAGGCGGAAUAGUAAGUCAGUGGUGAAAGCCUGCAGCUUAACUGCAGAACUGCCAUUGAUACUGCUAAUCUUGAGUACAAUUGAAGUGGGCGGAAUGUGUCGUGUAGCGGUGAAAUGCAUAGAUAUGACACAGAACACCGAUUGCGUAGGCAGCUCACUAAACUGUUACUGACGCUGAGGCACGAAAGCAUGGGGAGCAAACAGG